UUUUUCAUCUUAUUUCUCAGUCGUUAGAGCAUGGGGCUCUUAAUCCCAGGGUUGUGGGUUCAAGCCCCACGUUGGGAAAA